rnacentral:antisense_RNA from 2 species
CGUAGCGGUAGGACGGAAGGGGGACGCCUUGUGCGUGCUGGUUCUAUAUGCCCAGUCUGCUAACCCCCUUUCGUUCUGCCACCAUC